GCCAGAGCUACAGCUUGUAUUGAGCCCCCCUGACUGUGCCCUGAGGUCAGCGUGGUGCCCCAAAGGAGCUCCCCUGGUGUUGUGCACAAGAGGAGUUUUGCUGCCUUGCAGCUGAUGUGGCACGACAUAGCAAGAUGAGGCGCUGGAUUCACCUGGUGUGCUAGGAAAACUUUGCCACUGUUGUACGUGGCUCAGUAAACCUUUGACACUAUAAUACAAAUGCAGCUUAGGCCAACUAAAUGGGCUCUGAGGAUUUCUUGUCUAACUCGGAUGGCAUGUCUGCACAUAGAAAUACUGGCUGUUGUAGGCAAGCCACAGCACUUUCAGGAGAUGUUUCUGUAAAUGAAAUAACUUAUAAAUGGAAGAAGGAGAGAAACAGCCUUCUUUCAAAUACAGUGCAGAUUUUAUUAUAACUGUCUGGUGCUUGGUGUUUGUGCUGCUCUGGGAUGUGGCAGAGACUCAGUUCUGAUUUACUCAUGAGCUGAUUCUGGUCUGAUAUAGUUUCUUCCAUUAUCAAAAGAAAUCUAGUAGGCUUUCUGCAAUCCAUCAGGCUUUUUUUGGGGGGGGGAUAUAAAAAGUUAAAAUUACAUAAUAAUAAUAAUAAUAAUAAUAAUAAUAAUAAUAAUAAUAAUAAUAAUAAUAAUAAUAAUAAUAAUAACAA